rnacentral:sRNA from 1 species
AGAUGGGCACAGACGCCCACAGUGCUAAGGCUGCUUGGGCAUUGGCAGGGCUGGCAUAGCAGCGAAAGGGCCUUGGAGAGAGUGCCAAGCAUGGAGCUGGGGCGCUUGGAGAUCCCGGCUGAGCUGGCCAUCAUGCUGAAGACGGCGGAAAGCCAUCGGGACGCCCUGGCUGGGAGCAUCACUGAGUGCCUGCCGCCUGAGGUUCCUGCCCGGCCCAGCCUGACUCUCCCAGCAGACAUUGACCUGUUCCCUUUCUCCAGCUUCGUCGCCAUCGGCUUUCAGGAACCGUCCCUGCCCAGGCCAGGGCAGCCACUGGCGAAGCCCCUAACCCAGCUGGAUGGAGACAACCCUCAGCGUGCCCUGGACAUCAACAAAGUGGUGAGUGACACAUUGGAGAAGGGACAGGAUAGGCGCCUGGGAGCCCCGCACGUCCUGUCCUUACCCGGCUGUCUCGGCAGAUGCUGCGGCUCCUGGGGGACGGAUCCCUGGAGUCCUGGCAGAGGCAGACCAUGGGCACAUACCUGGUGCGGCAGGGGCAGUGCCGGCCAGGGCUGCGGAAUGAGCUCUUUAGCCAGCUGGUGGCCCAGCUAUG